UGGGGAAUAUUGGACAAUGGGCGAAAGCCUGAUCCAGCCAUGCCGCGUGUGUGAAGAAGGCCUUAUGGUUGUAAAGCACUUUAAGUGGGGAGGAAAAGCUUAUGGAUAACACCCAUAGGUUCUGACGUUACCCACAGAAUAAGCACCGGCUAACUCUGUGCCAGCAGCCGCGGUAAUACAGAGGGUGCAAGCGUUAAUCGGAAUUACUGGGCGUAAAGCGAGCGUAGGUGGUUUAUUAAGUCAGAUGUGAAAUCCCUGGGCUUAACCUAGGAACUGCAUCUGAUACUGAUAAACUAGAGUAGGUGAGAGGAAAGUAGAAUUCCAGGUGUAGCGGUGAAAUGCGUAGAGAUCUGGAGGAAUACCGAUGGCGAAGGCAGCUUUCUGGCAUCAUACUGACACUGAGGUUCGAAAGCGUGGGUAGCAAACAGGAUUAGAUACCCUGGUAGUCCACGCCGUAAACGAUGUCUACCAGUCGUUGGGUCUUUUAAAGGCUUAGUGACGCAGUUAACGCGAUAAAGUAGACCGCCUGGGGAGUACGGCCGCAAGGUUA
rnacentral:rRNA from 1 species